rnacentral:rRNA from 1 species
GGAAUCUUCCACAAUGGGCGCAAGCCUGAUGGAGCAACACCGCGUGAGUGAAGAAGGGUUUCGGCUCGUAAAGCUCUGUUGUUAAAGAAGAACACGUAUGAGAGUAACUGUUCAUACGUUGACGGUAUUUAACCAGAAAGUCGCGGCUAACUACGUGCCAG